CGGGAAGACAACUAGGCUUGUGAAAUCUCAUGCCUGACAGCACAAUUUUGCAUGACACUUCUGACCUGCAUGUCAAGAGAAAACGCAAGAUUGAAGAAGCCCAGAUCGCAAGGGAAGUUGAAGUUAAUGAAAACCGAAUUCGCAAAGCACUAGAGAAAGAAAAUAUUUUGAGGAGAAAGGCUGAGGAACGAAUGAGGAAAGAGAUGGAAAGAUUUGAUCGUGAAAGAAGGAAGGAAGAAGAAAGGUUGAUGCGUGAACAGCAGAGAGAGGAUGAGAGAUUGCUACGUGAGCAAAGGCGAGAAUCAGAGCGACGGGAGAAGUAUUUACAGAAAGAAUCUAUUAAGGCGGAGAAAAAGAGACAAAAGAAGAGCUUCGUCGAGAAAAAGAAGCAGAGAGACGAAAAGCUGCAGUGGAGAAGGCCACUGCUGGCAGAAUUGCCAAGGAAUCCAUGGAGCUUAUGGAGGAUGAACCGCUGGAGCUGAUGGAAUUGGCCACUGCAAGCAAGGGGUUGGCUUCAAUCGUUAAUCUCGAUCAUGUCACUAUGCAGAACCUUGAGUUGUUCAGAGGUAGGUUUUUUAUAGCGAUUACUGUUAAGACCAGUUUCACUCCAUUGAUUCAUUGAUUGUGUGAUAUUGUUGUUUUGACUAGGAUUCUAUGGCAGCUAAGAGAAGCUUUUAAAUUCCUAUGCUCUGUUUUUAUCGUGUACCUUAAAUUCAGUAGAAAGGACAUAGGGCCUGAUCCUUUCUAGAAAAUUUACCGGUGUUCCAUUGUUGUCAAGAAUAAUUCUAGAUAUACUAAAGUUAUACAAUUACCAUCAUACUAAAUGAUGUUAACAUUGGAUAUAUGAAUGAGUCACCAUCUUGUGAAUUGAAUCUAAUCCUGUCAUCACCAAUUUAAUUCAUGUCACCAUCUUGUGAUUUGAAUCUACUCCUGUCAUCACCAAUUUUAUUUGAUAGUUGUAUUUUACUUACUAUCUAAUCAUUGUUCGUUUGAUGCACUACUGUAACCUCUCACGUUUGAUGUUUAUGUAUGGAUCUUUGCGCUGAUGAGUUCCUUUCCAUAUUGUCGAGACAUUCAAGUCUGAAGACUGUGGUUGUAGGCACUUCUAAAUGUUUGAAUGGGAGAGUUUUUUUGGUUUUUCUGAUGAUGUUGGAUUAGUUAAUCGCCUAUGUUCAAAUAGUGCGGAUGUUUUGUCUUUUCUGUUUCUGAAAGAGCGCUUGCUGUGAACUCGUGCUGUCACUUUGCAUUCAAUUUUGUCGAUCCAGUGAAACAAAGUGAUAAAUACAAGCCACUAUUUUUUUUUUCCUAUUUGCUAAGUGCUUAUCACAAAAUGAAAUCAUUGGCUCAAUAGGACCAGUAAAGCUACAUUGACCAAUAAUUUUGAUCGGAACAGUAUAGAAUUUUUGGUCAAUUAUGCAUUGUGAAAGUGCAAUUUGGAGGCUUUACAUGCAUUGUUAUGAUAUCAGUCACUAAACAGAAAAUGCAACUUAGUACUGGGAGUUUACAAAGUUGUAGAGGCAUGUCACUUGGUGGCUGAUUGUUCAUUUGCGAGUCCAAGUUUGACAACCAACGAAAGCUGUUUACCAUUGAAUAUCGAGUUAAGGUAGGAGCGUGGAUUUCCUGGAGAAAAUGGUUCCUCAAUUAUUACAGACAUCAGCAUAAAUCCUCGCCAAUCAUUCGCUCCAUCAUGCAAGAAACCGGUCCUAUAAUUGCCCUCGACCUGGUCUUUCUGCUGCUGUGUCUGAAUAAUCGGACAAGAACAGGGACAGGUUUGAGUUUCGCCAAGAACAUAUUGUUCUUGCUUAUUCGUCAGUUGUAAUACAGAGAGAGGGAGAGAGAGGCAGGAAGAAUGGGGAAAGAGAAAGUGGGUUUGGUCGCAUUGCUGAUAAUUGUGUUGAGCUGGUGUGUAUCGUCGUCCUCCUACUCCUCUUCUUCUUCUUUCAGAGGUGAUCUGAGCAGAGGCAAGGUGUCUUUGACUUUCGGACGCCACAUCCGCUUUAUCGACCCAACAAGGACCUAGUAAUCUGCAGGGACCCAAUUUGUGCGUCCCUGCAUUCAGGCGACUACAGAUGUGACCACCCAGAGCAAUGUGACUACGAGGUGGAGUAUCAGAUGGCGGCUCUUCUCUUGGUGUAAUUGUAAAGGAUGUCGUUUCUUUCAGGUCCUACAACAACAGCAGGGUUCUUAGUCCUUGUGUCACCCUUGGAUGUGGAUAUGAUCAGAUACCUGGUCCGUCCAAUCCUUUCUUAGAUGGAGUGCUUGGGCUCGGUAAGGGUAGGUCCAGCAUCGUAUCACAGCUAAGUAGUCGAGGUUUGGUGGGUACUAGGCCACUGCUUGAGUACACGUGGUGGUGGAUUUCUCUUCUUCGGUGAUGAUCUUUAUGACUCCUCCCGCAUCACAUGGAUGCCUAUGUCUCAUGAUUACUCAAAGCACUAUUCUCCUGGGACCGCAGAGCUCCUUUAUGCAGGGAAACCUACUGGACAGAAAUUAUGAAUGUGAUUGGAGACAUAUUGAUGCAGGACAAGAUGGUGAUCUACGACAAUGAGAGGCAAUUGCUGGGAUGUGAAUCUAAAGAUUGCAGUAGACCUCCAAAGCCCAGAGCAUUUGCAGCAAUUAACAGGAAGCUCCUUGCCGUAUCUAACCAAGCCUUCACCUACGAAGCUCAUCAUUGCCAAGUCACUUGUAAAUAAGCCCUGAUUAAUGUUUUCCUUUGUCUUUACUGUACUGGAUGUUACAAAAUUGCUUACGGGUAUUACACCAAGUGAACUCAAUUACAGCCAUUCUUAAUAAGUAUGGGUCAAGGAAACACUUUCAAUUACUAUAUUAAUGAGUCACAAGCAGUAGUUUAGUUAGGUUAUCAGCUUUACAACAAGAG